AUGAACGCUGGCGGCGUGCCUAAUACAUGCAAGUCGAGCGAACGGACGAGAAGCUUGCUUCUCUGAUGUUAGCGGCGGACGGGUGAGUAACACGUGGAUAACCUACCUAUAAGACUGGGAUAACUUCGGGAAACCGGAGCUAAUACCGGAUAAUAUUUUGAACCGCAUGGUUCAAAAGUAAAAGACGGUCUUGCUGUCACUUAUAGAUGGAUCCGCGCUGCAUUAGCUAGUUGGUAAGGUAACGGCUUACCAAGGCAACGAUGCAUAGCCGACCUGAGAGGGUGAUCGGCCACACUGGAACUGAGAAACGGUCCAGACUCCUACGGGAGGCAGCAGUAGGGAAUCUUCCGCAAUGGGCGAAAGCCUGACGGAGCAACGCCGCGUGAGUGAUGAAGGUCUUCGGAUCGUAAAACUCUGUUAUUAGGGAAGAACAUAUGUGUAAGUAACUGUGCACAUCUUGACGGUACCUAAUCAGAAAGCCACGGCUAACUACGUG
rnacentral:rRNA from 1 species